rnacentral:rRNA from 1 species
UACGGGGGGGGCAAGCGUUGUUCGGAAUUACUGGGCGUAAAGCGCACGUAGGCUGAUAGUUAAGUGAGGGGUGAAAUCCCAGGGCUCAACCCUGGAACUGCCUUUCAUACUGGCUAUCUCGAGUCCGGAAGAGGUUAGUGGAAUUCCCAGUGCAGAGGUGAAAUUCGUAGAUAUUGGGAAGAACACCAGUGGCGAAGGCGGCUGACUGGUCCGGUACUGACGCUGAGGUGCGAAAGCGUGGGGAGCAAACAGG